rfam:Oryza barthii chromosome 8, whole genome shotgun sequence.
AAAAAGACAAAUCCUCGUUUCCGUGUCCAACGUUUGACCGUCCGUUUUAUUUGAAAAAAUUAUAAAAAAAUUGAAAAGAUAAGUCAUGUAUAAAGUAUUAAUCAUAUUUUAUCAUCUAACAAUAAUGAAAAUACUAAUUAUAAACAAAUUUUAUAUAAGACGGACAGUUAACGUUAGCACGGAAAUCUAGGGUUUGUCUUUUU